UGCCUCUGGACAGAGAGCUGGCCCAGUAGAAUUCCACAUGAAGAGGGGACCAGGCAUGGGCAGAGAGGAGUGAAACUCUAGACUUCUAGAGCAACCACAGUUGACUUCCCAGGUGUGAAAGGAAUGUGCUCAGAAAGAGCCUGUGGGAGGUGAGGCCAGAAAGUAAAGUUAGGAACAGGAAUCCAGGCAUCCCUGGUGCCUUGACAGGCAUGGAGUUGAUGGAGGAGGGGAAGAGGAACUCCAUAUGAACUGAACUCAGACCUGCCCCUGCCUGGUCAGGUGACUCUGCACAGUAACGCUUCAAGAUGCAGAAUCCUUUUCAGGAAAAGUACUAGAUGUCAGCUGGAUGUCACCACUGACCACAGGAGAACACGUCAGGCUGCUAACAUGACACCUGGCAGGGGUCACACAGUGCCUGAGCCAGCCGGCAACAAUGUAGAGACCCAGCGCCAGCUCUUCUGCCCAAGCUCACCCUACGACAGCAGCCUGCCAAGGGCCAUCUGACUUCUGGAUGGACCAGUUUUGUCUGAAACCAAAACCAAUGCUGUUAAAUGCCAGAGAGCCAAGUGUGCUGGUUCAUUCCAUCAGCCAAUUGUAAGUAGGCUGCAGCCCUGAAUGGAGAGAAUGUGACUCACUUUCAAAUGCACCAAGGACUGCAGGAUCACCUGCCCAUAUGUUAUCAUUUCACAAAGGGCUUUUGUUUUGUUUUUAAUGAAUUCAGUUUGUUCCCUGAAAAUUCCACCCAUGUAUAUAAUGCAUUCCGAUUCCUCUUGCCU